rnacentral:rRNA from 1 species
UUAAGUGACUAAGCGUACAAGGUGGAUGCCUUGGCAAUCAGAGGCGAAGAAGGACGUGCUAAUCUGCGAAAAGCUUGGAUGAGUCGAUAAGAGGCGUUUAAUCCAAGAUAUCCGAAUGGGGAAACCCAGUAGAUGAAGAAUCUACUAUCAACAAGUGAAUUCAUAGCUUGUUGAGGCAAACCGGGAGAACUGAAACAUCUAAGUACCCCGAGGAAAAGAAAUCAACCGAGAUUUCGUCAGUAGCGGCGAGCGAAAGCGAAAGAGCCAGUAAGUGAUAGCAGUAUAGUGAGGAGAAUGUGUUGGGAAGCACAAUCAAAGAGGGUGAUAAUCCCGUAUCUAAAAACCAUAUUGUGGUACUAAGCUAACGAGAAGUAGGGCGGGACACGUGAUAUCCUGUUUGAAGAAGGGGGGACCAUCCUCCAAGGCUAAAUACUCCUGAUUGACCGAUAGUGAACCAGUACUGUGAAGGAAAGGCGAAAAGAACCCCGGUGAGGGGAGUGAAAUAGAACCUGAAACCUUGUACGUACAAGCAGUGGGAGCCCCAUCACUUAAUCCGAUUGGAAGGUGAUGAAAAGCAACCGCACUUAAACAAUGGUAAGAGGAGCGAAGCGAGUCAAACCACCCAAAAGAAGCAGUGGGAUUAAGUGAUGGGGUGACUGCGUACCUUUUGUAUAAUGGGUCAGCGACUUAUAUUUUGUAGCGAGGUUAACUGAAUAGGGGAGCCGAAGGGAAACCGAGUCUUAACUGGGCGAGUAGUUGCAAGGUAUAGACCCGAAACCCGGUGAUCUAGCCAUGGGCAGGUUGAAGGUUGGGUAACACUAACUGGAGGACCGAACCGACUAAUGUUGAAAAAUUAGCGGAUGACUUGUGGCUGGGGGUGAAAGGCCAAUCAAACCGGGAGAUAGCUGGUUCUCCCCGAAAUCUAUUUAGGUAGAGCCUUGAGGUGACACCUUUGGGGGUAGAGCACUGUUUCGGCUAGGGGGCCAUCCCGGCUUACCAACCCGAUGCAAACUACGAAUACCAAAGAGUGAUACUCAGGAGACACACGGCGGGUGCUAACGUCCGUCGUGGAGAGGGAAACAACCCAGACCGCCAGCUAAGGUCCCCAAGUCUAUAUUAAGUGGGAAACGAAGUGGGAAGGCUUAGACAGCUAGGAUGUUGGCUUAGAAGCAGCCAUCAUUUAAAGAAAGCGUAAUAGCUCACUAGUCGAGUCGGCCUGCGCGGAAGAUGUAACGGGGCUGAAAUAUAGCACCGAAGCUGCGGCAUCAGAAUUUAUUCUGUUGGGUAGGGGAGCGUUGUGUAAGCGGAAGAAGGUUCAUCGAGAGGUGGGCUGGACGUAUCACAAGUGCGAAUGCUGACAUAAGUAACGAUAAAACGGGUGAAAAACCCGUUCGCCGGAAGACCAAGGGUUCCUGUCCAACGUUAAUCGGGGCAGGGUGAGUCGGCUCCUAAGGCGAGGCUGAAAAGCGUAGUCGAUGGGAAACAGGUUAAUAUUCCUGUACUUGGUAAAGCUGCGAUGUGGGGACGGAGUAGGUUAGGUUAUCGCACUGUUGGAUAUGUGCGUUUAAGUUGGUAGGUGGGAAGUUUAGGCAAAUCCGGGCUUCCUUAACACAGAGAGAUGAUGACGAGGCUCUACGGAGCUGAAGUAACUGAUACCACACUUCCAGGAAAAGCCACUAAGCGAAAGGCUUUACUAAACCGUACUGAAAACCGACACAGGUGGUCAGGUAGAGAAUACUCAGGCGCUUGAGAGAACUCGGGUGAAGGAACUAGGCAAAAUAGCACCGUAACUUCGGGAGAAGGUGCGCCGGCGUAGAUUGUAAGGGCUAGCCCCUGAAGGUUGAACCGGUCGAAGAUACCAGCUGGCUGCAACUGUUUAUUAAAAACACAGCACUCUGCAAACACGAAAGUGGACGUAUAGGGUGUGAUGCCUGCCCGGUGCUGGAAGGUUAAUUGAUGGUGUAAUCGCAAGAGAAGCACCUGAUCGAAGCCCCAGUAAACGGCGGCCGUAACUAUAACGGUCCUAAGGUAGCGAAAUUCCUUGUCGGGUAAGUUCCGACCUGCACGAAUGGCAUAAUGAUGGCCAGGCUGUCUCCACCCGAGACUCAGUGAAAUUGAAAUCGCCGUGAAGAUGCGGUGUACCCGCGGCUAGACGGAAAGACCCCGUGAACCUUUACUAUAGCUUGACACUGAACAUUGAAUUUUGAUGUGUAGGAUAGGUGGGAGACUUAGAAGUAGUCACGCCAGUGAUUAUGGAGUCGACCUUGAAAUACCACCCUUUAACGUUUGAUGUUCUAACGAAGAUGACGAAACGUGGUCUCGGACAGUGUCUGGUGGGUAGUUUGACUGGGGCGGUCUCCUCCCAAAGCGUAACGGAGGAGCACGAAGGUUUGCUAAUCACGGUCGGACAUCGUGAGGUUAGUGCAAUGGUAUAAGCAAGCUUAACUGCGAGACAGACAAGUCGAGCAGGUACGAAAGUAGGUCAUAGUGAUCCGGUGGUUCUGAAUGGAAGGGCCAUCGCUCAACGGAUAAAAGGUACUCCGGGGAUAACAGGCUGAUACCGCCCAAGAGUUCAUAUCGACGGCGGUGUUUGGCACCUCGAUGUCGGCUCAUCACAUCCUGGGGCUGAAGUAGGUCCCAAGGGUAUGGCUGUUCGCCAUUUAAAGUGGUACGCGAGCUGGGUUUAGAACGUCGUGAGACAGUUCGGUCCCUAUCUGCCGUGGGCGUAGGAGAAUUGGUUGGGGCUGCUCCUAGUACGAGAGGACCGGAGUGGACGCACCACUGGUGUUCCGGUUGUGUCGCCAGACGCAUUGCCGGGUAGCUAAGUGCGGAAGAGAUAAGUGCUGAAAGCAUCUAAGCACGAAACUUGCCAAGAGAUGAGUUCUCCCAAUCAAAGAGAUUGUAAGGGUUGUUGUAGACUACGACGUAGAUAGGUCUGGUGUGUAAGUGUAGUGAUGCAUUGAGCUAACAGAUACUAAUUGCCCGAGAGGCUUAACU